rnacentral:rRNA from 1 species
GUAAAAGUCGUAACAAGGUCUCCGUUGGUGAACCAGCGGAGGGAUCAUUACCGAGUUUACAACUCCCAAACCCAAUGUGAACGUUACCAAACUGUUGCCUCGGCGGGAUCUCUGCCCCGGGUGCGUCGCAGCCCCGGACCAAGGCGCCCGCCGGAGGACCAACCAAAACUCUUAUUGUAUACCCCCUCGCGGGUUUUUUUAUAAUCUGAGCCUUCUCGGCGCCUCUCGUAGGCGUUUCGAAAAUGAAUCAAAACUUUCAACAACGGAUCUCUUGGUUCUGGCAUCGAUGAAGAACGCAGCGAAAUGCGAUAAGUAAUGUGAAUUGCAGAAUUCAGUGAAUCAUCGAAUCUUUGAACGCACAUUGCGCCCGCCAGUAUUCUGGCGGGCAUGCCUGUCCGAGCGUCAUUUCAACCCUCGAACCCCUCCGGGGGGUCGGCGUUGGGGAUCGGCCCUGCCUUGGCGGUGGCCGUCUCCGAAAUACAGUGGCGGUCUCGCCGCAGCCUCUCCUGCGCAGUAGUUUGCACACUCGCAUCGGGAGCGCGGCGCGUCCACAGCCGUUAAACACCCAACUUCUGAAAUGUUGACCUCGGAUCAGGUAGGAAUACCCGCUGAACUUAAGCAUU